GCUGGGCGUGGUGGCGCAUGCCUGUGAUCCCAACUCCUUGGGAGGCUGAGGCAGAAGAAUCACUUGAACCCAGGAGGUGGAGGUUGCAGUGAGCUGAGAUUGUGCCACUGCACUUCAGCCUGGGUGACAGAGUGAAACCCUGUCUCAA
rnacentral:SRP_RNA from 1 species